rnacentral:rRNA from 1 species
AUUGAACGCUGGCGGCAGGCCUAACACAUGCAAGUCGAGCGAACCUAGCUUGCUAGGUGAGCGGCGAACGGGUGAGUAACACGUAGGAAUCUGCCCGAUAGUGGGGGACAACGUCUCGAAAGGGACGCUAAUACCGCAUACGCCCUACGGGGGAAAGCAGGGGAUCUUCGGACCUUGCGCUAUCGGGUGAGCCUGGGUCGGAUCAGCUAGCUGGUGGGGUAAAGGCCUACCAAGGCGACGAUCCGUAGCUGGUCUGAGAGGACGACCAGCCACACUGGGACUGAGACACGGCCCAGACUCCUACGGGAGGCAGCAGUGGGGAAUAUUGGACAAUGGGCGCAAGCCUGAUCCAGCAAUGCCGCGUGUGUGAAGAAGGCCCUCGGGUUGUAAAGCACUUUUAAUGGGGAAGAAAAAGUCGGAGAUAAUAUCUCCGAAAAUUGACGUUACCCACAGAAAAAGCACUGGCUAACUCUGUGCCAGCCGCCGCCGUAA